GAUGAAGAACGCAGCGAAAUGCGAUAAGUAAUGUGAAUUGCAGAAUUCAGUGAAUCAUCGAAUCUUUGAACGCACCUUGCGCUCCUUGGUAUUUCGAGGAGCAUGCCUGUUUGAGUGUCAUGAAAUUCUCAACCUUUCUGGCUUUUGCUAGUCAGGCUUGGAUUAUGGGAGCUGCUGGCUUUUGAAGUCGGCUCUUCUAAAAUGUAUUAGCAAGAUCAUUGCUGCUCAUCAUUGGUAUGAUAAUUAUCUAUAUCAUUGAGAGUCAGUUUCCUUUAUUGGAAGAUUUUGCUCCUAACGGUCUUUAGCAAGACAACAUUUGACGAUUUUGACCUCAAAUCAGGUAGGACUACCCGCUGAACUUAAGCAUAUCAAUAAGCGGAGGA
rnacentral:misc_RNA from 1 species